rnacentral:rRNA from 1 species
GAUAACCUACCCUAAGGUGGGAGAUAACCCCGGGAAACUGGGGAUAAUACCCCAUAUUAUGGCUGGAAUGUCAUAUAAAGAUUUAUCGCCUUAGGAUGGGUCUGCGGCCGAUUAGGUAGUUGUGGGGUAACGGCCCACAAGCCUUUGAUCGGUACGGGUUGUGGGAGCAAGAGCCCGGAGAUGGAUCUGAGACAGAAUCCAGGCCCUACGGGGCGCAGCAGGCGCGAAAACUUUACAAUGCGGAAACGUGAUAAGGGAACUCCGAGUGCCCUAGCGGGCUGUCCUCGCUUAAAAAACGGUGAAGAAAGGGCCGGGCAAGACCGGUGCCAGCCGCCGCGGUAAUACCGGCGGCUCGAGUGGUGGCCACUAUUACUGGGCUUAAAGCGUCCGUAGCUUGGUUGUAAGUCUCUGGGAAAUCUUCGGCUUAACGAAGGCGUUAGGGAUACUGCAAUCUAGGGACCGGGAGAGGUAGAGGUACUUCGGGGUAGGAGUGAAAUCCUGUAAUCCUGGGGGACCACCUGUGGCGUAGGCGUCUACCAGAACGGUCCGACAGUGAGGGACGAAAGCUGGGGGAGCAAACCGGAUUAGAUACCCGGGUAGUCCCAGCCGUAAACGAUGCGGUUAGGUGUACGGACCCGAGUACCGGGUGCCGAGGGAAACCGUGAAACUGCCGCCUGGGAAGUACGGUCGCAAG